AUUGAACGCUGGCGGCAGGCCUAACACAUGCAAGUCGAACGAGUGGCGGACGGGUGAGUAAUGUCUGGGAAACUGCCCGAUGGAGGGGGAUAACUACUGGAAACGGUAGCUAAUACCGCAUACCAUCGGAUGUUCCCAGAUGGGAUUAGCUAGUAGGUGGGGUAACGGCUCACCUAGGCGACGAUCCCUAGCUGGUCUGAGAGGAUGACAAGCAACCCUGGAACGUGGACACGGUCCAGAUCCCGACGGGAGGCAGCAGUGGGGAAUAGGGAACAAUGGGCGCAGGCCUGAUGCAUCCAUGCCGCGUGUAUGAAGAAGGCCUUAGGGUGUAAAAGUACUUGCAGCGAGGAGGCGUUACUCGCAGAAGAAGCACCGGCUAACUCCGUGCCAGCAUCCGCGUUAAUUC
rnacentral:rRNA from 1 species